UAGACCGCCUGGGGAGUACGGCCGCAAGGUUAAAACUCAAAUGAAUUGACGGGGGCCCGCACAAGCGGUGGAGCAUGUGGUUUAAUUCGAUGCAACGCGAAGAACCUUACCUGGUCUUGACAUCCACAGAAGAAUCCAGAGAUGGAUUUGUGCCUUCGGGAACUGUGAGACAGGUGCUGCAUGGCUGUCGUCAGCUCGUGUUGUGAAAUGUUGGGUUAAGUCCCGCAACGAGCGCAACCCUUAUCCUUUGUUGCCAGCGGUUAGGCCGGGAACUCAAAGGAGACUGCCAGUGAUAAACUGGAGGAAGGUGGGGAUGACGUCAAGUCAUCAUGGCCCUUACGACCAGGGCUACACACGUGCUACAAUGGCGCAUACAAAGAGAAGCGACCU
rnacentral:rRNA from 1 species